rnacentral:rRNA from 1 species
UACGUAGGGGGCAAGCGUUGUCCGGAUUUAUUGGGCGUAAAGAGCGUGUAGGCGGCCUUACAGGUCAGCUGUGAAAACUCGAGGCUCAACCUCGAGACGUCGGUUGAAACCGUAUGGCUAGAGUCCGGAAGAGGAGAGUGGAAUUCCUGGUGUAGCGGUGAAAUGCGCAGAUAUCAGGAGGAACACCGAUUGCGAAGGCAGCUCGCUGGGACGUUACUGACGCUGAGACGCGAAAGCGUGGGGAGCAAACAGG